rnacentral:tRNA from 1 species
GGGCAAGUGGCGGAACUGGCAGACGCGCCGGAUUUAGGUUCCGGUGGGGCGACCCGUGCAGGUUCGAGUCCUGUCUUGCCCA